ensembl:lncRNA NLGN1-AS1 NLGN1 antisense RNA 1
CCUUAAAUAGAGUGUUAUGAGCUACUGACUCUUAAACUUUGAGCUUCAGAGGAAGUUAACAGCAAGUCUGAUGACUCAUAUGCAUUCUCACAUGCUUGAAGGUGGCUGAAGAUGAAAAUAGCCGAACUAGCAGCAAUUGUUUUAAAAACCGCAAGGAUUAUUCGCCGUUGAAAAUAAAAUCUUGUGCUCCAUUCAAGUACAGGCACAUCUUCUAAGGAACACCACCACACAAAUUAUCAUACCCAUUUUAUGGAUGACGAAGAACACUUGGAGAAGAUAAGAAAAUGGCCACAGUUACAAUGAGAUCAAAACAGCUCAAUCUUAAAAUCAAGUCUCUCACUCCAAAUGGAGAUUUUUAUGCUACAUUAUUACCAAAAUAAUUUUGUUUCUCUUUUCCUCAAGGAAGCACACAUUUGCUGUGAGCAUUAUAUAUUACUUAUUAAAAUUUAGUGAUUUUAGAAUCGUAA